CGUACACUCCUACGGGAGGCAGCAGUGGGGAAUAUUGGACAAUGGGCGCAAGCCUGAUCCAGCCAUGCCGCGUGAGUGAUGAAGGCCCUAGGGUUGUAAAGCUCUUUCACCGGUGAAGAUAAUGACGGUAACCGGAGAAGAAGCCCCGGCUAACUUCGUGCCAGCAGCCGCGGUAAUACGAAGGGGGCUAGCGUUGUUCGGAUUUACUGGGCGUAAAGCGCACGUAGGCGGACUAUUAAGUCAGGGGUGAAAUCCCGGGGCUCAACCCCGGAACUGCCUUUGAUACUGGUAGUCUUGAGUUCGAGAGAGGUGAGUGGAAUUCCGAGUGUAGAGGUGAAAUUCGUAGAUAUUCGGAGGAACACCAGUGGCGAAGGCGGCUCACUGGCUCGAUACUGACGCUGAGGUGCGAAAGCGUGGGGAGCAAACAGGAUUAGAUACCCUUGUAGUCCC
rnacentral:rRNA from 1 species